rnacentral:rRNA from 1 species
GAUGAACGCUGGCGGCGUGCCUAAUACAUGCAAGUCGAGCGAACGGACGAGAAGCUUGCUUCUCUGAUGUUAGCGGCGGACGGGUGAGUAACACGUGGAUAACCUACCUAUAAGACUGGGAUAACUUCGGGAAACCGGAGCUAAUACCGGAUGAUAUUUUGAACCGCAUGGUUCAAAAGUGAAAGACGGUCUUGCUGUCACUUAUAGAUGGAUCCGCGCUGCAUUAGCUAGUUGGUAAGGUAACGGCUUACCAGGGCAACGAUGCAUAGCCGACCUGAGAGGGGGAUCGCCCCCCUGGAAACUGAGCCCCGGCCAAGACCCUAAGGGAGGGCACAGUUAGGGAAUCUCCGGAAAUGGGCGAAACCUUGCCGAAGCAACGCGCGGGUGGUGAGGAAGGUCUCCGAACGGAAAAACUCUUUAUUAGGGAAGAACAUAUGUGUAAGUAACUGUGCACAUCUUGACGGUACCUAAUCAGAAAGCCACGGCUAACUACGUG